CUUGCUUUGGGGGAAAGGGAUUCUAGUUUCUAUGACCCACCUUGGGGAAGAGGAAUUCUGGUUUCUGUGAAUCACCUCAGAGGAGAAAGACUGGUGGAAAACCGAAGGAUGGGAGAGGUCAGAGAGCCCCGCCUUCUGAGACCUUCCAGUCUCCUUCAGUUUAAAUUACUCAGCAUGUCAAAGUGUUCAGAGCCCAACACCAGGUUAUUGGGCCUUAUGUUCCAAGUAGAGAACUGCAUGGUGUAGACAAGAGGUGGUAUUGAAGGACUGGGUGGCAGAGCAGGGACAAGGUCAAUGGCAUUUCGGAGUUACUCAUCUGGUACCAGUGUGGAGCCUGGAUUCCAGAAGAUCUGCCUGUCUUCUGCAAAGGCCAAACAGGCCAAGUGAGGACACCUUGAGAUGGUGGACCCCCGCCAGCUGGGAAGAGGACCCUCACCUGACCAUGCUGAUGCUCUGAUUGCAGACUUCCAACCUCCAGAACUGUGAGAAAAUAAAUAUUUGUUGCUUAAACCACACACAAAAUGGGCUAAGAUGGUGAAUUUUAUGUAUAU
rnacentral:lncRNA from 1 species